UACGUAGGUGGCAAGCGUUAUCCGGAUUUAUUGGGCGUAAAGGGAACGCAGGCGGUCUUUUAAGUCUGAUGUGAAAGCCUUCGGCUUAACCGGAGUAGUGCAUUGGAAACUGGGAGACUUGAGUGCAGAAGAGGAGAGUGGAACUCCAUGUGUAGCGGUGAAAUGCGUAGAUAUAUGGAAGAGCACCAGUGGCGAAAGCGGCUCUCUGGUCUGUAACUGACACUGAGGCUCGAAAGCGUGGGGAGCAAACAGG
rnacentral:rRNA from 1 species